ACACUCAGGGAUAGCCUUUCGAAAGAAAGAUUAAUACCUGAUGGUAUGAUGAGAUUGCAUGAUAGCAUCAUUAAAGAUUUAUCGGCGUACGAUGGGGAUGCGUUCCAUUAGGUAGUAGGCGGGGUAACGGCCCACCUAGUCUUCGAUGGAUAGGGGUCCUGAGAGGAAGGUCCCCCACAUUGGAACUGAGACACGGUCCAAACUCCUACGGGAGGCAGCAGUGAGGAAUAUUGGUCAAUGGGCGAGAGCCUGAACCAGCCAAGUAGCGUGAAGGAUGACUGCCCUAUGGGUUGUAAACUUCUUUUAUAAAGGAAUAAAGUCGGGUAUGCAUACCCGUUUGCAUGUACUUUAUGAAUAAGGAUCGGCUAACUCCGUGCCAGCAGCCGCGGUAAUACGGAGGAUCCGAGCGUUAUCCGGAUUUAUUGGGUUUAAAGGGAGCGUAGAUGGAUGUUUAAGUCAGUUGUGAAAGUUUGCGGCUCAACCGUAAAGUUGCAGUUGAUACUGGAUAUCUUGAGUGCAGUUGAGGCAGGCGGAAUUCGUGGUGUAGCGGUGAAAUGCUUAGAUAUCACGAAGAACUCCGAUUGCGAAGGCAGCCUGCUAAGCUGCAACUGACAUUGAGGCUCG
rnacentral:rRNA from 1 species